rnacentral:rRNA from 2 species
GAGCGGACCGACGGGAGCUUGCUCCCUUAGGUCAGCGGCGGACGUGUGAGUAACACGUGGGUAACCUGCCUGUAAGACUGGGAUAACUCCGGGAAACCGGGGCUAAUACCGGAUGCUUGAUUGAACCGCAUGGUUCAAUCAUAAAAGGUGGCUUUUAGCUACCACUUACAGAUGGACCCGCGGCGCAUUAGCUAGUUGGUGAGGUAACGGCUCACCAAGGCGACGAUGCGUAGCCGACCUGAGAGGGUGAUCGGCCACACUGGGACUGAGACACGGCCCAGACUCCUACGGGAGGCAGCAGUAGGGAAUCUUCCGCAAUGGACGAAAGUCUGACGGAGCAACGCCGCGUGAGUGAUGAAGGUUUUCGGAUCGUAAAACUCUGUUGUUAGGGAAGAACAAGUACCGUUCGAAUAGGGCGGUACCUUGACGGUACCUAACCAGAAAGCCACGGCUAACUACGUGCCAGCAGCCGCGGUAAUACGUAGGUGGCAAGCGUUGUCCGGAAUUAUUGGGCGUAAAGCGCGCGCAGGCGGUUUCUUAAGUCUGAUGUGAAAGCCCCCGGCUCAACCGGGGAGGGUCAUUGGAAACUGGGGAACUUGAGUGCAGAAGAGGAGAGUGGAAUUCCACGUGUAGCGGUGAAAUGCGUAGAGAUGUGGAGGAACACCAGUGGCGAAGGCGACUCUCUGGUCUGUAACUGACGCUGAGGCGCGAAAGCGUGGGGAGCGAACAGGAUUAGAUACCCUGGUAGUCCACGCCGUAAACGAUGAGUGCUAAGUGUUAGAGGGUUUCC